AUACUUACCUGGCAGAGGAGACACCAUGAUCAAGAAGGUGGUUCACCCAGGGUGAGUUGGCCACAUGUCACGUCACUUCACUUCACUUCAUUUCAAAAGUUACGGACUGCAGCUUUAAGC
rnacentral:snRNA from 1 species